GAGCAAGUGGUCUGGAUUCAACAGUGUGGUCUCUUAUGAAAUGAGAUUGAAUUUUCUCCUAUAUCUUUCCAAAACAGGUCCUCGCUAAUCAUUCAGGUGCCAGUAGAAAUAGCAACUCCUCAGAGAGGACUUCCCUGAUCACUCAAUUUAAGAAAUCUGAAGAGCGUC